rnacentral:rRNA from 1 species
AGAGCGAACGCUGGCGGCAGGCUUAACACAUGCAAGUCGAACGCUCGUAGCAAUACGGGAGUGGCAGACGGGUGAGUAACGCGUGGGAACAUACCCUCCGGUUCGGAAUAGCUCAGGGAAACUUGGAUUAAUACCGGAUACGGCUGAGAGGCGAAAGAUUUAUCGCCGGAGGAUUGGCCCGCGUUCGAUUAGCUUGUUGGUGAGGUAACGGCUCACCAAGGCGAUGAUCGAUAGCUGGUCUGAGAGGAUGAUCAGCCACAUUGGGACUGAGACACGGCCCAAACUCCUACGGGAGGCAGCAGUGGGGAAUAUUGGACAAUGGGCGCAAGCCUGAUCCAGCCAUGCCGCGUGAGUGAUGACGGCCUUAGGGUUGUAAAGCUCUUUCGCUCGGGACGAUAAUGACGGUACCGAGAUAAGAAGCCCCGGCUAACUUCGUGCCAGCAGCCGC